rnacentral:sRNA from 1 species
AAAAUGCCCUUAGAAAACUUUAAAGGUUUAAUACUGACACAAAUUCUUAUUUAAAAAGGAAAAUCCGACUUUUACAUUUUCCUCUAUUAACCUGGGCUGUGCAGUUAAGCAUCAUCAGCGUCAGCGACGCACGCACAGGUAACAGCUGAAAACCAUGCAAACCAUUCCCGUGACGCACAAGUGCUCAGUGUGAUAUACUUUUUUUCCAAGAAAGAUUGUGGACGGGAGGAAAAAAUGCAAAAAUAUGAUAUAAAAUUACCAAGUAUAAUUACAGGAAGAAAUUGAAUAUGCUGCAGUGGUAAACAGAAAUUAGUUCUAAUCGUUUCCGAAUCAAAACGUCCUGAAAUUUGGGAACUUUGAAAUGCGAUCUACAAUUUAUGCAGUGAAUGAAUAUUUUAACGCAAACAAUUUCGCAAAGGAUUUACACUACUAAUUACAGACGGACACCUUUGAUGUCUAUAAAAUAUUGUAUAUAUGGCGCAACGGAACUUCUAGGUACAUAUGGCGCUAACUCCUAUGCGACUUAUUUCGGAAUUUUUAACAAAAUAAAACAAAGGAUUAAUCUGAGAAUAGACAAUACAUCUACCAUCAAGUAAAUUAUUUCAUGCGCAUUGGUUAAAUCUGAACGGAAUAGAAGCCGAGAUUUUGGCAAAAUUUUGUUCAGAUGCAUU